AGUGUACGCUGGCGGUAGGCCUAACACAUGCAAGUCGAACGGCAGCACAGGAGAGCUUGCUCUCUAGGUGGCGAGUGGCGGACGGGUGAGGAAUACAUCGGAAUCUGCCCAGUCGUGGGGGAUAACGUAGGGAAACUUACGCUAAUACCGCAUACGACCUUCGGGUGAAAGAGGGGGAUCGCAAGACCUCUCGCGAUUGGAUGAGCCGAUGUCGGAUUAGCUAGUUAGCGGGGUAAUGGCCCACCAAGGCGACGAUCCGUAGCUGGUCUGAGAGGAUGAUCAGCCACACUGGAACUGAGACACGGUCCAGACUCCUACGGGAGGCAGCAGCGGGGAAUAUUGGACAAUGGGCGCAAGCCUGAUCCAGCCAUACCGCGUGGGUGAAGAAGGCCUUCGGGUUGUAAAGCCCUUUUGUUGGGAAAGAAAUCUUUCAGGCUAAUACCCUGGGAGGAUGGCGGUACCCAAAGAAUAAGCACCGGCUAACUUCGUG
rnacentral:rRNA from 1 species